CCCCCUCCCCGCGGUGCAUGGGGCGGAGCGGCCCGGCCGAGCGCUCGGUGCAGCGGGAUGCAGCGGGCCGAGGCCCGGCCACGUCAGCACCCCGAAGGGGCUGCCCUGGGGGGCGGAAGCGGCGGGGACCGGGCAGCUGCAGCAGCCGCGGGAGCCAUGGACCCCACGAGGCUGCUGGAGCCUUCCCUCUACACAGUCAAGGCCAUAUUCAUCUUGGACAAUGAUGGACAGCGACUCUUAGCCAAGUACUACGACGACACCUUUCCAUCCACGAAAGAACAGAAGACCUUUGAGAGGAGUGUUUUUGAUAAAACCCACAAAACUGACAGUGAGAUCGCCUUUCUGGAGGGGCUGACCAUUGUCUAUAAAAGCAGCAUCGACCUCUUUUUCUACGUGGUGGGGAGUUCCCAGGAAAAUGAGCUGAUGCUAGUGGCAGUUCUCACCUGUCUCUUCGACUCCCUCAGUCACAUGUUACGGAAGAAUGUAGAGAAGCGCUCCCUGCUGGACAACCUGGACGGGGUGUUCCUCGUGGUGGAUGAGAUCGUCGACGGGGGGGUGAUUCUGGAGAGCGAUCCUCAGCAAGUGAUCCAGAAGGUGAACUUCAGGGUGGACGAUAGCCCUCUGUCUGAGCAAAGCGUUGCCCAGGUCUUUCUGUCUAGACUAAUCCCGUCAGCAUGAGCCCUGCGGCUGGGCUGUCCGUGUCUAACCCAGCACUAACCACCUUCUCACGCCAGGCCGAGUUCUGCAAUCUGCCAAAGAGCAAAUUAAAUGGUCCUUAUUAAAGUGAACGUCCCAGAGGAGAGCGCCUGGAUCCUCCCGAUUGGAUGGGUCUGAACUGCGACGGCAAAUGAUUCCUCGCCUUAUUCGAUUAGCCGUUUGCAAAUUGGCAUGAAAAGUCUGAUAAAAGCUUUUGGGUAGGAUGCAAGAUGGCUGACAUUGGCCGCGCCUCCUGGGGGAACGCCAGCGUUCCACGGACAUGGGUUUAAACCCAGUCUCGAUACCAUGAAAUUCUCUGCAUGCUAAAGGGGAGGGUUGGUUAUUAACUGGUUAACAGACCAAAUUCUGCUCACUAUAAAUGAGGAGUGACGUCGAUGGGGUUAUUUCAGAUUGACAAUGGUGUAACAGAGAGCAGAACCUGGCCCAAGAUCCAUAAAGAACUCCAGAACUAUUACUGUUAUUUAAGGACUGAAUAGGCGGAUUGAUCAUAUGUAGUUACACCAACUAAAGCGCUGCGUGAGAGUCAAUUAAAAUUUUGUUUGGUACUAGCAGAGCCAGAACAUACCCUAGUUGAAUCUUCAGUUCACCAGUAAAGAGCUGGCUCCUUCUUUUGCAGGGCUGUCACUAGUGCCGGCACACUUGUUGAUCAACGCAGCGAGCCAAUGCUUGCUUGCUCCUCAGUGAGGGUUGGGCCCUACAGACACUGCCUGAGACUUUCAAAACCAUAGGAAGGGAUUUGCAUGCCCUUUUCUCAUUCAAACAAAUGGGGCUUGGGCAUCCAGCUCGCCCUAGGCUCUUUAGAAUAUUUCAGCCACUUCCAAAAUCUCUUCCGCUGUCUCCCAAGGCAACCUUUGAUCCCUUUUGAGGAUGGCCAUGCCUGUGCAGAGGGUCGGCGUGAAGUAAGUGCCACUGUCACAUCCUCCCACCUGCAAGUUGGGGAUGAGUGCACAGGAAUCAUUGUCACCCUGUCAGAGUAAGAUUCAAAACUUCCCAAUGAUGACCACUAAUAACCCCCCCAAACUCUUACAAGGUGCUUUUCAUCGGUAGAUCUCAAAGCACUUUACAAAGGAGAGCAGGUCAUUAUACAGAUGGGGAAACUGAGGCACAGAGUGGGGGAGUGACUUCCCCAAGGUCAUCUAGUUGGCCAGUGGCAGAGCUAGGAAUAGAACCCAGGUCUCCUGAGUCCCAAUCCAGCAUUCCAGCCACUAGGCAGCACUGCCUCCCUCAUGCAGCUUUGGCGGUCGUUAAUUUUGUAAAAACAAUCCUGCUGCAAAUACCUGUCGGCUCAAACAUCACUAAAGGACCCGGCUAUGGUAAAAAUCCUAUUUUCAGAAUGAUCAUUUCCUUCCCUUUAACACCCCAGAUUAUCAAUAGCAAGAAAAAACAUGAAAAUUGAAUGAAGGAGAAUUGGCUAGCUGUGUGAUACUUACUUCAGCGAGGGCUUGGUACAUUUCAAUCCAUUUCUGUAAACUGGGCAUGCCCAGCGUCUUUUAUGAUCAACAAAUAAAGUUUUAUAGCACAUGGGUCA